rnacentral:lncRNA from 1 species
CCUCAGCAGAAAAGCAAAUCCUACUCACUUUUGGGGAGUGUUGGGCCCAGGUCUUGAGGUGAUGAAGUGGUGGCAACCUGAGUGAUGGACACUGUGGGUGACAGAAGAUUGCUUUUGAGGGAGUAAGCUGUAUGAAGUGAGAAUAAACCUGCGGAGUUCCUCCCAUUGACUUAAUCCACUGGACUUCCUGUUUUCUGUGACGC